GACGAACGCUGGCGGCGUGCCUAAUACAUGCAAGUCGAACGCUGAAGGAGGAGCUUGCUCUUCUGGAUGAGUUGCGAACGGGUGAGUAACGCGUAGGUAACCUGCCUGGUAGCGGGGGAUAACUAUUGGAAACGAUAGCUAAUACCGCAUAAGAGUAGAUGUUGCAUGACAUUUACUUAAAAGGUGCAAUUGCAUCACUACCAGAUGGACCUGCGUUGUAUUAGCUAGUUGGUGGGGUAACGGCUUACCAAGGCGACGAUACAUAGCCGACCUGAGAGGGUGAUCGGCCACACUGGGACUGAGACACGGCCCAGACUCCUACGGGAGGCAGCAGUAGGGAAUCUUCGGCAAUGGACGGAAGUCUGACCGAGCAACGCCGCGUGAGUGAAGAAGGUUUUCGGAUCGUAAAGCUCGGUUGUAAGAGAAGAACGAGUGUGAGAGUGGAAAGUUCACACUGUGACGGUAUCUUACCAGAAAGGGACGGCUAACUACGUG
rnacentral:rRNA from 1 species